UGCGUAGGCGGUCGGAUAAGUUAGAGGUGAAAUCCCGAGGCUCAACUUCGGAAUUGCCUCUGAUACUGUUCGGCUAGAGAGUAGUUGCGGUAGGCGGAAUGUAUGGUGUAGCGGUGAAAUGCUUAGAGAUCAUACAGAACACCGAUUGCGAAGGCAGCUUACCAAGCUACUUCUGACGUUGAGGCACGAAAGCGUGGGGAGCAAACAGGAUUAGAUACCCCCGUA
rnacentral:rRNA from 1 species